GACGAACGCUGGCGGCGUGCCUAAUACAUGCAAGUAGAACGCUGAAGAGAGGAGCUUGCUCUUCUUGGAUGAGUUGCGAACGGGUGAGUAACGCGUAGGUAACCUGCCUUGUAGCGGGGGAUAACUAUUGGAAACGAUAGCUAAUACCGCAUAACAAUGGAUGACACAUGUCAUUUAUUUGAAAGGGGCAAUUGCUCCACUACAAGAUGGACCUGCGUUGUAUUAGCUAGUAGGUGAGGUAAUGGCUCACCUAGGCGACGAUACAUAGCCGACCUGAGAGGGUGAUCGGCCACACUGGGACUGAGACACGGCCCAGACUCCUACGGGAGGCAGCAGUAGGGAAUCUUCGGCAAUGGGGGCAACCCUGACCGAGCAACGCCGCGUGAGUGAAGAAGGUUUUCGGAUCGUAAAGCUCUGUUGUAAGUCAAGAACGGGUGUGAGAGUGGAAAGUUCACACUGUGACGGUAGCGUACCAGAAAGGGACGGCUAACUACGU
rnacentral:rRNA from 1 species